GAAGCUGGCUAGACAGUCGCCGCUCACGUAAGUGAGGGGAGGAAAGUCCGGGCUGCAAAGAGCGGGAUGACGGCUAACGGCCGUACGCUGAAAGCUUGGGAAACCAAGUAUAAGGCGCGGAAUAGGGCCACAGAGACGAGCGUAUUAAGUUACGGUGAAACGCGGUAACCUCCAUUCGCAGCAAGACCAAAUAGGCUGGCAUUGACGUGGCUCGCGUUGCCAGCGGGUAGGUUGCUUGAGCGCAUGAGUAAUUGUGCGCCUAGAUGAAUGACUGUUACGUGCAGUAAUGCACGACAGAACCCGGCUUAUCGGCCAGCUUCGUUU
rnacentral:RNase_P_RNA from 1 species